rnacentral:lncRNA from 1 species
GAUGGGGGAGGGGCAAAAAGCUCGCGGAAACCAAGGUCUAGGUUGUUGCUGCACAGGCUCCCAACUCCUUCACAAGUGCCUGUGAUGGAACCGACCAACAACUGUUCUCAGGUGAAAGGAGGUGUUGCAGGUUGCUGGCUAGUUUCCAGAAGCUUGAACAAGAGAAGGAAGACUCCUGCCUCCCCAGAGCAGAAUAAAAUAUCAAUGCCAGGCCGA